ACGUAGCAGUCACCUCGAGAAGCUCUGGGUUUCACAGUGUGCUCAAAGUUGUCUAUAGGCUCCCCAUUUCCCAUGCGGAGUACUUGGACCAUCACUGUGAAAGCAAGGACUUGAAGAGGACAAACUCCAAACUCAGUAAUUCCAGACAAGGGUCUAUUCUAAAGGUCCUCCUUCAGCUCAGGCACAAAGAAUGGGCCACAACAUACAAGUGAAAGAGCGGCCCAGUGCGGUCCAGUGUGGUCCAGGCAUGCCCAGAGUGGGUGUAGUGGCCCCAGCAUUAGGAGUGCCCCGUCAUCGGGAGCUGGUGGCCGGCCAGGCACCAAAGGGCCAGGAGGAGCCGAGCACCCCUGGCCCCAGUCCUCAAUGCCACUACUACUUUUCCUGAGGAUUCAUGCUUACCCUUCAACCUCCAGCUAGAGGCCCACUCACUUCCUCUAGAGGAGCAAGGUCUUCUCCAUCCUGGCUCCAGAUUUAGUCCUUCAGCUGUGAUGCUGCUCAUUUCAAAGACACCUGAGUCCUUAGCUCAGCCAACAGCAAAUCAGCCAUCUCCCAAAUAAAUACCCUGAGACCUGCCUUACCUCUGUGGGGAGCACACAGUUGAACAAUAAACUUACUCUGCCAAUCAUAAGUUUGUUCUAGUGCUCUUUCUUUUCCAAAAUAUAUAGGUUCUCAAAAUAAGGAUUAACUUUUUAAAGACCUGCUAAGUGCCACAAACUACUGGGUGCUCUACAUGCAUUUCAAUCUCCUAAUAAUCAAUGGACUAAGAGUAAUCAGCAGUAUU